GAUGAACGCUGGCGGCGUGCCUAAUACUUGCAAGUAGAACGCUGAAGGAGGAGCUUGCUCUUCUGGAUGAGUUGCGAACGGGUGAGUAACGCGUAGGUAACCUGCCUGGUAGCGGGGGAUAACUAUUGGAAACGAUAGCUAAUACCGCAUGACAACAGUUAUUGCAUGAUAACUGUUUAAAAGGGGCAACUGCUCCACUACCAGAUGGACCUGCGUUGUAUUAGCUAGUUGGUGAGGUAACGGCUCACCAAGGCGACGAUACAUAGCCGACCUGAGAGGGUGAUCGGCCACACUGGGACUGAGACACGGCCCAGACUCCUACGGGAGGCAGCAGUAGGGAAUCUUCGGCAAUGGACGGAAGUCUGACCGAGCAACGCCGCGUGAGUGAAGAAGGGUUUCGGAUCGUAAAGCUCUGUUGUAAGAGAAGAACGAGUGUGAGAGUGGAAAGUUCACACUGUGACGGUAUCUUACCAGAAAGGGACGGCUAACUACGUG
rnacentral:rRNA from 1 species